rnacentral:rRNA from 1 species
UACGGGGGGGGCAAGCGUUGUUCGGAAUUACUGGGCGUAAAGGGCUCGUAGGUGGCCAACUAAGUCAGACGUGAAAUCCCUCGGCUUAACCGGGGAACUGCGUCUGAUACUGGAUGGCUUGAGUUUGGGAGAGGGACGCGGAAUUCCAGGUGUAGCGGUGAAAUGCGUAGAUAUCUGGAGGAACACCGGUGGCGAAGGCGGCUCACUGGACCAUAACUGACGCUGAGACACGAAAGCGUGGGUAGCAAACAGG